UACGGAGGGAGCUAGCGUUGUUCGGAAUUACUGGGCGUAAAGCGCGCGUAGGCGGCUUUGUAAGUUAGAGGUGAAAGCCCGGGGCUCAACCCCGGAACUGCCUUUAAAACUGCAUCGCUUGAAUCCGGGAGAGGUGAGUGGAAUUCCGAGUGUAGAGGUGAAAUUCGUAGAUAUUCGGAAGAACACCAGUGGCGAAGGCGGCUCACUGGACCGGCAUUGACGCUGAGGUGCGAAAGCUAGGGUAGCAAACGGG
rnacentral:rRNA from 1 species